rnacentral:tRNA from 1 species
GGGAGUUUGGUCUAGUGGUAAAAUUCCCGCUUAGGGUCCGAGAGGUCGAGGGUUCAGUUCCCGCAACUCCCC